GCAUAUCAAUAAGCGGAGGAAAAGAAACCAACUGGGAUUGCCUUAGUAACGGCGAGUGAAGCGGCAAAAGCUCAAAUUUGAAAUCUAGUGCCUUCGGUACUCGAGUUGUAAUUUGAAGAAUUUAUCUCCGAACAGUCCUUUAUCUAUGUUCCUUGGAACAGGACGUCAUAGAGGGUGAGAAUCCCGUAUGAUUUUGGAUACUGUUCAUUGUGAGGUUUAUUCGAAGAGUCGAGUUGUUUGGGAAUGCAGCUCUAAGUGGGUGGUAAGUUCCAUCUAAAGCUAAAUAUUGGCGAGAGACCGAUAGCGAACAAGUACAGUGAUGGAAAGAUGAAAAGAACUCUGAAGAGAGGGUGAAAAAGUACGUGAAAUUGCUGAAAGGGAAGGGCUUUAGGUCAGACUUGGUGUUUAAUACUCAGUUCUCCUUGUGGGAGCUGCUCUUGUUUUUCACUGGGCCAAUAUCAGUUUUGGUGGUAGAGCACCUCUGGAAAUGUGGCUAUCUUCGGGUAGUGUUAUAGUCUAGAGACGAUCUACUGCUGGGACUGAGGUCUGCGCUUUUGCUAGGAUAUUGGCAUAAUGACCUUAAGCCGCCCGUCUUGAAACACGGACCAAGGAGUCUAACGUCUAUGCGAGUGUUUGGGUGUAAAACCCGUACGCGAAAUGAAAGUGAACGUAGGUUGGGGCCUUCGGGUGCACAAUCGACCGAUCCUGAUGUUUUCAGAUGGAUUUGAGUAAGAGCAUAGCUGUUGGGACCCGAAAGAUGGUGAACUAUGCCUGAAUAGGGUGAAGCCAGAGGAAACUCUGGUGGAAGCUCGUAGCGGUUCUGACGUGCAAAUCGAUCGUCGAAUUUGGGUAUAGGGGCGAAAGACUAAUCGAACCAUCUAGUAGCUGGUUCCUGCG
rnacentral:rRNA from 1 species